GAAUGCUGCUCUAAAUGGGAGGUAUAUUUCUUCUAAAGCUAAAUACUGGCCAGAGACCGAUAGCGCACAAGUAGAGUGAUCGAAAGAUGAAAAGCACUUUGAAAAGAGGGUUAAAUAGCACGUGAAA
rnacentral:rRNA from 1 species